rnacentral:rRNA from 1 species
AUUGACCGCUGGCGGCAGGCCUAACACAUGCAAGUCGAGCGAGCGGCGGACGGGUGAGUAAUGUAUGGGGAUCUGCCCGAUAGAGGGGGAUAACUACUGGAAACGGUGGUUAAUACCGCAUACUAUAGGAUGAACCCAUAUGGGAUUAGCUAGUAGGUGGGGUAAAGGCUCACCUAGGCGACGCUCUCUAGCUGGUCUGAGAGGAUGACCAGCCACACUGGGACUAGGACACGGCCCAGACUCCUACGGGAGGCAGCAGUGGGGAAUAUUGCACAAUGGGCGCGAGCCUGAUGCAGCCAUGCCGCGUGUAUGAAGAAGGCCUUAGGGUUGUAAAGUACUUUCAGCGGGGAGGCGUUGCCCGCAGAAGAAGCACCGGCUAACUACGUGCCAGCAGCCGCGGUAAUAC